rnacentral:rRNA from 1 species
UUGAACGCUGGCGGCAUGCCUUACACAUGCAAGUCGAACGGUAGAGGAGCAAUCCUCGAGAGUGGCGAACGGGUGAGUAAUGCAUCGGAACGUGCCCUGAAGUGGGGGAUAACGUAGCGAAAGUUACGCUAAUACCGCAUAUUCUGUGAGCAGGAAAGCAGGGGAUCGCAAGACCUUGCGCUUUAGGAGCGGCCGAUGUCGGAUUAGCUAGUUGGCGAGGUAAAGGCUCACCAAGGCAACGAUCCGCAGCGGGUCUGAGAGGAUGAUCGGCCACACUGGGACUGAGACACGGCCCAGACUCCUACGGGAGGCAGCAGUGGGGAAUUUUGGACAAUGGGCGCAAGCCUGAUCCAGCCAUGCCGCGUGAGUGAAGAAGGCCUUCGGGUUGUAAAGCUCUUUCGGCGGGGAAGAAAUCGCACGGGUUAAUACCCUGUGUGGAUGACGGUACCCGAAUAAGAAGCACCGGCUAACUACGU